GAUGAAGAACGCAGCGAAAUGCGAUAAGUAGUGUGAAUUGCAGAAUUCAGUGAAUCAUCGAAUCUUUGAACGCACAUUGCGCCCUUUGGUAUUCCUUAGGGCAUGCCUGUUCGAGCGUCAUUUAAACCUUCAAGCUCAGCUUGGUGAUGGGUGACUGUCCUCCCCUCGCGGGGGGACUCGCCUCAAAAACAUUGGCGGCCGGUUACAUUGGCUUCGAGCGCAGCAGAAACGCGGUCUCGAGCCCGGUGGAUCGGCUCCCAUAAGUCUAUUCUUUUAUUUUGACCUCGGAUCAGGUAGGGAUACCCGCUGAACUUAAGCAUAUCAAUAAGCGGAGGA
rnacentral:misc_RNA from 1 species